rnacentral:rRNA from 1 species
CCUACGGGUGGCAGCAGUGAGGAAUAUUGGUCAAUGGCCGAGAGGCUGAACCAGCCAAGUCGCGUGAGGGAAGACGGCCCUACGGGUUGUAAACCUCUUUUGUCGGGGAGCAAAGCGAGUCACGUGUGACUCAUUGAGAGUACCCGAAGAAAAAGCAUCGGCUAACUCCGUGCCAGCAGCCGCGGUAAUACGGAGGAUGCGAGCGUUAUCCGGAUUUAUUGGGUUUAAAGGGUGCGCAGGCGGAGGUGCAAGUCAGCGGUCAAAUUGCGGGGCUCAACCCCGUACUGCCGUUGAAACUGCAUCCCUUGAGUGCGCGAGAAGUAUGCGGAAUGCGUGGUGUAGCGGUGAAAUGCAUAGAUAUCACGCAGAACUCCGAUUGCGAAGGCAGCUUACUAAACUGCCACUGACAUUGAUGCUCGAAAGUGUGGGUAUCAAACAGGAUUAGAUACCCUGGUAGUC